rnacentral:rRNA from 1 species
GGGGGGAACCCUGAUCCAGCCAUGCCGCGUGUGUGAAGAAGGCCUUUUGGUUGUAAAGCACUUUAAGUGGGGAGGAGGCUUACCUGGUUAAUACCUGGGCUAAGUGGACGUUACCCACAGAAUAAGCACCGGCUAACUCUGUGCCAGCAGCCGCGGUAAUACAGAGGGUGCGAGCGUUAAUCGGAUUUACUGGGCGUAAAGCGCGCGUAGGUGGUUAAUUAAGUCAAAUGUGAAAUCCCCGAGCUUAACUUGGGAAUUGCAUUCGAUACUGGUUAGCUAGAGUAUGGGAGAGGAUGGUAGAAUUCCAGGUGUAGCGGUGAAAUGCGUAGAGAUCUGGAGGAAUACCGAUGGCGAAGGCAGCCAUCUGGCCUAAUACUGACACUGAGGUGCGAAAGCAUGGGGAGCAAACAGGAUUAGAUACCCUGGUAGUCCAUGCCGUAAACGAUGUCUACUAGCCGUUGGGGGAUUUGAUCCUUUAGUGGCGCAGCUAACGCGAUAAGUAGACCGCCUGGGG